ACACAUGGUGUGUCUUCUCCACUUGCCUCGGCAGUUAUCUGUUCAAACUGGCACCUCCUGCAUUACUCAGUUCAUGAUGAAAGUUCCGGCCAGACAGUUCAAACAGAAGCCCUGACCUAUUGGUCCUGUGGGCAAUCAAUCAAGCUGGUUUAUGCUUAACUCGUGUGCUGCUGGAAUGCUCUGCUGGAAACACACAGUUGCAAACACCCAACAGCAUAACUUGAUGUUUGACCACUCCCAGGGAGACUUCUUGCGAUAACAGACUGCAAUCCAGCCCAGCCAAAAUUUCCAGUAUCUCAACACAGAAACAGUCUAAGGACCCAACUACUUCAUCCUGCAAUGAACAAUGUGACAUUACAUUUAAGUUGGACCACCUUAAGAACUAGCUGUUUACCACCAAAGACUUGGCUUAACCGUUGAUAAACUUAGUGCCUAUUGAUGAGCCCUCUCAUGUUAGGAGGAACCUGGAGGGAGGCCCUGUAGUCGACCUACUAGCGAUGAAUGAGGAAGAGAUCGCAACCACAUCCCCAAUACAACUUUUGGAACCUAGGAGGGGUAACAACACACCCCCUCCACAAGAACUGUCCUCUAACCUAAAAGUCCCAGUGCAGACUAUGACCCUGGAUAUUGGUGGUGAUCCAGAUUUGCUUACAACAUCUUGACAACUACAUUUGUUAUCCUGGAACAUUAUGGGGUGGUCAAAUAAAUUCCAUGAUGCAGACUUUGCAAUGUAUUUGCAAACAUUUAGAAUAAUUUGUCUGCAAGAGACAUGGGCUGAAGAAGCUAACUUACCUUCUCUUUAUGGUUUUAGAUCAUUCUCAGUUCCAGCUGUAAAAACAAGUUCUAAAGGUCGAGGCAGUGGUGGCCUCACUACACUUAUCUCAGUAGAACUGCAAGUCGACAUCCAACCCUUGGUUAGUACCCACCCUCAAUGCAUACAGGCCCUUCUCAUUAAGUGCAAGCAUUUUGGUGGUUUAAUUUGUAAAAAUGUUUAUUUUCCACCUAGACUACCAAAAAAUGGAGGCCCUAACAAUGUUUGGUCUAGCCUAUCCGAAACCCUUACGCUAUUAGAAAAUCAAUACCCCUCCACAAAGGUUCUUCUGUGUGGAGACUUCAAUGCCAGAAUUGGGGCAGAAUUGAAACAGGUGGAGGGCACAAAUUUUGGACAAGUCUUCCAGGUUACACCUGCUGCCAGGGUUUCACAAGACUCAAACAGCAACAAAUCAGCAAACAAAAUCAGAGCAAGACUGAUUGCGGACAUUGCAGUCGACUGCGCCGGAGAUGCUUUUAUCUAGUUUUUAACAUGACUGAUAUUUUAUAUUGGCUUUUUACUGGUUAUAUUUUGCAAGCUCUGUUUUAUACUCCAGGCACCGUGGUUUUAACUGUGGAAGUUUACAGGGUUUCUACAGAUGCUUGGUUGAUAUUUUUACAUAUGUUUUUUAAAUGACUGAUUUUAUACAUUGGCAUUUUACCGGUAAUUGUGCAGUCCCCAGCACAUGUUGCACUUGUGCUGCUGCACCACACAAUGUAUAGUUUGCAUGUUCUGUUUUAUCCUGCUUGCAUCCUACUUUUAAGUGUUGAAUUUUACAGUGUUUUGUAUAGACGUUUGUUUGAUGUUGUUUCUGUAAAUGCAUAUGACCAUUGGUCGGAGCAUUAAUAAAUUGAUUGGUAUGAAACUUGAUAUAACAUUUUACUUUAACAACAAAACACAACAAAAAAUACAUGGCAACAAUACUACAUGAGAAAAGGACCUUGGGAUUAUAUUUUGAGCAUAAAUAUAUAAGACAGCAGUGUGAUACUGUGACAAAGAAUGCUAUUUUAACUAUUAAAAGGAAUACUCGGAGGUGAUUUUGCCAAUUCCUUCAUCAGAGAUGAUGAUGAUGAUGAUGAUGAUGAUGGCUUCUCACCCAUCUUUCCACAAGAUUUGAAGCAAGGCACAAUGUAGUUAAAACACAUAGGUGAAAUACAUACUGGUAGCCUCCCACCCAAGUACUACUAAACAGAGCUGACUUUGCUUAUCUUCCAAGAUCAGAUAGGCUCUGAUGCAUACAGAGCUAUCUAAUGC
ensembl:lncRNA